rnacentral:rRNA from 1 species
CACGUAGGGGGCGAGCGUUGUCCGGAAUCAUUGGGCGUAAAGCGCGCGUAGGCGGACCUGCAAGUCGGGGGUGAAAGCCCGAGGCUCAACCUCGGAACUGCCUUCGAUACUGCGGGUCUCGAGUCCGGGAGAGGUGAGUGGAAUUCCUAGUGUAGAGGUGAAAUUCGUAGAUAUUAGGAAGAACACCAGUGGCGAAGGCGGCUCACUGGCCCGGUACUGACGCUGAGGCGCGAAAGCGUGGGGAGCAAACAGG